ACAGACUGAAAAUGAGCUCAGAUCUUCUAUGUGAUCUGGGGUCAGAUUACUGUGCCCAAAGUAUUGUGGUGCAUUGAGCUUAUCCGACCUGUCUCUUAAUGGCAAUGUGAUAAAACCUAUGCACCAACAUUU